rnacentral:lncRNA from 1 species
GUCACAGUAGGAAUUGGAGUCGGGGGGGAGGGGACGGGGUGGAGGGGGAAUUACCAUUAGCAGUUGAAGUGGCAGGAAAUUUUUACAUAGGAGAGUAUGGUGAUCAUAUUUGCAUUUUAGAAAAUAAUGGAUAGCAGUUUGUUAGGGGAACAAAGGACAGAGACAGGGAGACUAUUUAAAACAUUAAUAAAAAAUACCCGUGACAGAUGAUGAGGCAUCUACCUGAUGGGAAUGGAGAAGAGGAGAUGGAUUCAGAAACUACUUAGGAGAGGCAGGCAGUCCAAGGCUGAUGCCCAAAGAAGCCAUCAAGACCCGUGCUACUUCCAGCUCCUUCUGUCCUCAUAAUCAUAGAUGAUUGCUCCACAUCCAGCACCUAACACCAGUACUCAGUUAAAUUUUUUGCUGAAUAAAUCAAUGAAUGGAGAGGUAAAGAGGAACCAGAAGUUGGGGUUACAGAAGUCACUGAUGGAAGAGUUUCAAGAUAGUAGAAGUGGUCAGCCCUGUUAAGUGACAAGCCAAGGACUGAAGAAAGACUGGCAGAUUUGGCAAUCAGAUGAAGUGACCUGACCAAAGAGCAGCUUGUGUGAAGUAGUGAGGACAGGCGCUGGUCUGCGACUGGUUUAGGAGGAAAUGGAAAUGAGGAAGAAGAGAUAGGAAAGUGGAGAUUAUAUGAUGACAAGUAUCAAGAUAAAAAUGAACACAUUUGGCCUGCUACCUGAAUUUUUUAAAUCGGCUCACCAAAAAAUAUCAGGCUUAUUGAAAUAUUGGAAUAUCUGAUGAAGUUUCCUCUUAUCUUUGAGCUGUUUGGGUUUGGGUAAAACUUCAAUGCUUAAAAUUCACGUCUACAACUAGCAGGCAGAAACUUAAAGUCCAGAACCAUUAAGGGGUUUAAUAAUGGUGAGGCAUAUGAUGAUGCUGAUGAUGAUAAUGUUUCUUUCUUUCUUUUGUGAUCUUAAUCACUGUGUGAUCUUAACUAGUUUGAAAUGAGAAUUUCAAUGGAGACAGUAGUGUAAAUUUACCAACAGAACAAUUACAGUUGUGACAAAUCAAAAACUA